GACGUAGGGCGCAAGCGUUGUCCGGAUUUAUUGGGCGUAAAGAGCUCGUAGGCGGCCUGUCGCGUCGACUGUGAAAACCCGCAGCUUAACUGCGGGACUGCAGUCGAUACGGGCAGGCUAGAGUUCGGUAGGGGAGACUGGAAUUCCUGGUGUAGCGGUGAAAUGCGCAGAUAUCAGGAGGAACACCGGUGGCGAAGGCGGCUCACUGGUCCGAUACUGACGCUGAGGUGCGAAAGCGUGGGGAGCAAACAGG
rnacentral:rRNA from 1 species